GGUUAGGGUUAGGGUUGGAGUUAGGGUUAGUGUUGGAGCUAGGGUUAGGGUUGGGCUUGGAGCUAGGAUUUUUCUGAGUGCACUGAACCAACUCCCGAGUCUCUAGGAUAUUCCUAAAAAAAUUUGAUUUUUUCCCAUAGGAAUGCAUGGGUUAGGGUUAGGGUUAGGGUUGGAGCUAGGGUUAGGGUUAGGGUUAGGGUUGGAGUUAGGGUUAGUGUUGGAGCUAUGGUUAGGGUUGGGCUUGGAGCUAGGAUUUUUCUGAGUGCACUGAACCAACUCCCGAGUCUCUAGGACAUUCCUAAAAAAUUUUGAUUUUU